AAGUCUGAUGGAGCAAUACCACGUGAACGAUGAAGGUCUUCUGAUUGUAAAGUUCUUUUACUUAGGAAAAAAAGCUUGACAGGAAAUGGUUAAGCCUUGAUCGUACUAGGUGAAUAAGUGACAGCUAACUAUGUGCCAGCAGCUGCGGUAACACAUAGGUCACAAGCAUUAUCCGGAUUUAUUGGGCGUAAAGGAAGCGUAGGCGGACAGUCUGAUCCAUUGUUAAAUGCACUUGCUCAACAAGUGUAUGCAGUGGAGAUCUCCUGUCUAGAAUUAAUUAGGAGAAACUGGAAUUCAAUGUGUAGUGGUGGAAUACGUAGAUAUAUUGAGGAACACCAAAGGCGAAAGCAAGUUUCUAGGAUAUAAUUGACGCUGAGGCUUGAAAGCGUGGGGAGCAAAUGGGAUUAGAUACCCCAGUAGUCCACGCCGUAAACGAUGGGUAUUUGGUAUUUGGGCUGGACCUGAGUGCCGGAGCUAACGCGUUAAAUGCCCCGCCUGGGUAGUAUAUAUGCAAAUAUGAAACUCAAAGAAAUUGACGGGGAUCUGAACAAGUGGUGGAGCAUGUUGCUUAAUUCGAUAAUACACGAAAAACCUUACCAAGGCUUGUAAUCUUCUGCAAAAGUGUAGAAAUACAGUGGAGUAUAUCAGAAUGACAGGUGGUGCAUGGCUGUCGUCAGCUCGUGUCUUGAGAUGUUUGGUUAAGUCCCGUAACGAGCGCAACCCCUCUCAUUAGUUAAUUAGUUCUAAUGUGACUGAAUCGUAAGAUAUAGGAAGGAUGGGGCCAAGUCAAGUCAUCAUGCCCCUUAUGCCUUGGGCUGCAAACGUGCUACAAUGGUAGGUACAAUGUGUUGCAACUUAGCGAUAAUGAGCU
rnacentral:rRNA from 1 species